AGCUUUGUGCAGUGAUGGCAUUGUAGCCAAUGAGGUUUAUCCAUGGUGUGAUUACUGCUAAUUGAAAAUAAAAUGGUUAAAACGAUGAAUUUUAUCUUAAAAUUUAAAAAAAAAAUUUAGCUUUGGCAUCAAUUAGUCUUG